UGAGCUCAAGACCCCAAGAUCAAGAAUCGCAUGCUCUACCAACUGAGCAAGCCAGGUGCCCCUCCAUACUUUAUUUUAAGGUCACAGGACUGAGGACCCGGGUCAAAAAAAUUCAACUUUUCAAUCUGCUUUGAAGAACUCCAAAUAAGAUUCCUAUGCAACACAGUUUGAUUCUUUAUCCCUUCUGGUUAACAUCAGGUCAUUCAAUGGAGACAGGGUAGUGCAAUAGUUAAGUGUGCAGACUCUGAAAACAAAAUGCCUGGCUUUGAAUCCUGAUUCUAUCAUGGUGUAAAUUUAAGGGGACCACUUCAUCUCUUUGUCCCCAGCAUCUCCAUCUGAAAACUUGAGUAACAACACCUACCUCAAAUGCUAGCUGUUGUAAGUGAGUGCACCCUACAGUGCAUGAGUGCACCAUGUAUCUUGUUACAUCUGUCUCUUCCCAACAGAAGGCAGAAUGACAGUCAUCAGAUACACUCCACUGUGAACUAUGCAAAAGCUGGUAUACAUUUUCCCACAGUUAGGAAGUGGGUUUAGAAGCUCUACCAAAUCUUUGCAGAUCACAGCACAAUAAAUAGAUUUACACUUCCAUCAGCUAUUCAAAAAUUAAGGCUGGAAAGCAAACACAUGGGCUAGCUUUCUGAUCCUCCCCAGAAGGAAGAAAUAAAAGGGACUUCAGUGAGACCAAGCUGAGCAGGCUGAAAACCAGGAAUUAGUGAAUCUCCUCCUUCACGUUCUGCCCAGAUCCUGGAAUGACUGGCAGCACACUUCCUUCCUGCCAACUGAAAAAAUGGAAGCAGUACAGUCUUAGCCAAUGAUCACAGACAAAAGAUCUGGAGGAUUCUGAGACUCUCUGGAGCUGGAUGCUCUGACACUAAAAAAAGUCUGUGCAUCACAGGAAAAAUGUGGAAACUCAACCUCUCAGAAAACUUGACUCAAGUUUCAUUCAAGAAGACUUAUGAGUGCCUACCACGUGCUCUAGGCACUGAGGAAUCCAGUUCCCCCUACAGAGACAGACAAGACAGAUGAACAAGAAAUCUGGAGGGAGGUGGUCCCCGAGGUUCAUUCAGCCAUUCAACAAUGCUGUCAAAGAUACAGCUUUCUUCUAUUUCACUGUCCUCAGCAUGUUUUCAAGACUGUCACCUCACUGUUACAAGAUGGCGGCUGUACUUCCAAGCAACAUAUCCUCACUCGAAGCAGGAAGCAAGACAGAGGCAAAAGGAUUUAUCUUCAUGGGUGUCUUGUCAUUUUAUUCAGGAAGGGAAUCUCUCCCACUUCUAAUAAUUCCUCAUUGGCCAGAGUUGGCUCACAUACACAACUCUAGACCAGUCAGUGCUGAGACAGAAUGGGCUGACCAGACCAGCUGAGACCAAUCACAAUUUUCAUCAAGCAUGACUCUGGACAGGCCUGCUUUGCCCGAGGUCAAGUAAUUGUGUGGACUAAACACAAAAUCAGGGUUCUGUUAGUAAGAACAGGGGAGACAGCUGCUGGUACAGGCUCACAGAAUGGAAGCAUCUAUGAAGAAACAACUAAACAUUAAAAAAGAAAAGCAAUGGCAUAUCUUAUGUUUCUUCUAAAGCCUGAACAUUGUGGGAAGCUGAAGCGUUGUCAGAGCUGGAGAACAGAAUGGGUGGGAUUGUCUAACUAUGCUCGUUGGAUUGUUUGGUCUUCAUUUCUAUUUAUUUUUUUAAAAAGAUUUUAUUUAUUUGAGAGAG